rnacentral:lncRNA from 1 species
AGAAAAUAGAAUGACGAUAGAAUUUCUGAAUAAAAAGCUGAAAAUUAAAUAAACCAAAACCCCAAACGAAAUAAUAAAUUGAAACAGUUGAACCUCUCAUACCUUGAGUUCUUUAACGCUAGCACUAUGUUCAGAAUCCGAUUCAUAGCGAUAUCUAUUUGCGACCCAUCUGGAUUUGGGAAUUACAAUCGUACAGAUAAUGGCGAAGAUGGAAACACCACCCAUAAUGACAACGGCAUAAUUGAAAGAAGGACCUGUAACGGGAUAAGUAUAAGGAGAAACAUUAACAACAAGAGCAAACAAGUUGUAAACCAAUGUAAUGACCAAACAAGGCUUACUUAACCAACCCAAAGACCAACGGCCUUUUGGGAAUUUAUCGCGUGUAAUAAAGAGGCGGCAAAACGCCAAUACAGCAUAAGCAGCAAAACUUGGUGCACCAGCGGCGGAAACAAGGGAGGUAAAAGCAACUGCACUAGGAAGAAUGGUGCAAAGUAAAAGAGCUGAAACAAUGUAGAUAACAGUGAUAGCAUUCUUUGGUUGACCGGUUUUACUUACUUGACUAAUCCAAUUCGAAAAAGGAAGAACGCCAUCACGCGAGACUGCAAACACUAAUCGACUACAAGCUAAAACUGAAACUACACCGUUCAGGAAGAUUUCGAGGAUAAUAACAACGUUCAUAACCACGUGUCCGCCGCGUCCUAGAAGAUAGGAGUAAAAAUUGACAAAUGGUUGAGGAGAAUUGUCGUUGUAUAAAAUAGCUGUAAAAGUAUCAAGGUCAGGACAACAGAAAAGAUAAAGGAUAGCAAGACUAAAAGCAACGAUAAAAGAUGUUACGGUAGAAUAAAAAAUACCGCGAGCUGCUUUAAUACUGGCAUCUUUAGUUUCCUCGGCAAUAUGACCAGAUGCAUCGUAACCCACAAUGACACCAGCAGUAGCAAAGUAAGACAAGCACCACUGCCAGCCCUUUGGAACGAUUUUUGAAAGUGAAGCGAUGGGGUUGCCGUUGGCAUCAUCAACCUCCUUGAUAUAUCCAGCCUGGUCAUAAAUGGUUUCCGUAAAGACCCAUUUGGCCGACCUGAAGCCAUCAGGUUUUUUAGAUGUAGCAACAGGGACCCAAAUAAUAUUCAUUACAUAAUCGAUAAACAUCAAUAACAUUGAUGCUUUAAAGAUCCAUUUGUAAUAACGAGGUGGGACUUGAUUAAGAAGGAUAGUAAACACUAAAAGCACUUCGGCUACAAUCCAUUGAACAGCACGAAAUUUAACGUCACUGUCGUUAGUAGGCCAAGGGUUAUUAAACGUGCUAACUUCAGCAAAGAUGAAAUUGGCAGUAGAUUGAGUGAUCGAUGCGACAAAUGUAGUCCAAGCGGUAGUAGACCACCAAGCAACUAAGAAACUAACAAAACGACCGAAUCUUGGACCAGCAGAUUCUGCGGCCCACAAAUAGAUAGAACCUGCGGCAGGAAGAGCAGAACAAAUUUCUGCUAAGCAUGCGGCAGUAACGAUUGAACAAAAUCCAGUUACCAACAUAGCCGACCAAUAUGCAGCAGGACCACCAAAUGAAAUACCCCAACUAAAGGUCAAGCGAACACCACUAACGACAUCUAAGGAAGCAAAACUGGCAGCGAAACUCUCAAAGAAUUCAAAAGAACGAUGAAGCACAGGUUGAUAGCCCAUUUUCCGUAAUAACUCAUUAUCAUUAUCGUCGUCUGUGACAGAAACAUCUUCAAAUCCUUCUUGAAAGACAUCGGGCCUUCUAGCAGGGUCGAUGGGACCAGCAUAGAGCUGAGGUUCUGCUUUCUCCUUGAUACUGGAAGAGCCUGAGGAGGUUUGUCCAAGCUCUGGAUCUUGAUGGCUUAUUUGUGAAGAAGGCAUGGCGAAGCAAUUGUAAUAAUAGCAAAUGAAAAAGUCAGAAAGAAAAAGAAAUUUUCAAUCGUUCAUAAAAAAACCUUAUAAAUAAAUAGAUUGAACUUCUUGCUGGAUUAUAACAAAAGAGCCCACUUAAAG